UGGACAAGAUAACAGGUUGAUCAAACAGCAUUGAUCAACCCGUCUUCUUAUCCGCC
rnacentral:pre_miRNA from 1 species